AACUAAAAUUUCAAGAAAAUCUUUUUUUUUUUGUAAUAAUUUAAAGCAAUAUAAAGCAAAUACAGGUGGUACCAAUCUGAAGUUCUGAUUGCAGUUCGCACUGGACACAAAUCUUUGACUUAAUUGCACUUUUGUGGCUUUAAAUCUAAACUUACCAAAGCCUUUGCACUAUUUGAUGAUUGCAGUUUUAAGUUUGCACACUUUGACCUAAAGGACUCAUUACUUCUGCAGGAGCACAAUCACCCGCUUCCUUGGGCGCAUCCAAAGUCAACACUCAAACUCAACUACAAGCCGUUAUGGGAUCACAUGGGGAGACACUAGAGGAGAGAGCGAGAAUUACCAUUUAUUUACACUUAAUUUAAUUCAAUUAAUUUAAUUUAAUUUAGCUCUUAUGCUUUGCUAUCAAGUUUUAGACAUGUUAAAA